UUUUUCCCUCAUUUAUUCUUGUUUCUCGCCUUUCUGGAUGGAUUAUACUUGUAUGUUUCUAUAUGCGAUCUACGGAUUUACCAAUUUCAUUUGCGAACGGUUACUCGCGCGGAUAAUUUUAUAUACUUAUAUACUUAUUUAUAAUUUUAU